rnacentral:rRNA from 1 species
UACGGGGGGGGUAAGCGUUGUUCGGAAUUACUGGGCGUAAAGGGCUCGUAGGCGGCCAACUAAGUCGGACGUGAAAUCCCUCAGCUUAACUGGGGAACUGCGUCCGAUACUGGAUGGCUUGGAUUUGGGAGAGGGAUGCGGAAUUCCAGGUGUAGCGGUGAAAUGCGUAGAUAUCUGGAGGAACACCGGUGGCGAAGGCGGCAUCCUGGACCGGCAUUGACGCUGAGGAGCGAAAGCCAGGGGAGCAAACGGG